UACGGAGGGUGCAAGCGUUAUCCGGAUUCACUGGGUUUAAAGGGUGCGUAGGCGGGCAGAUAAGUCAGUGGUGAAAUACCUGAGCUUAACUUGGGAACUGCCAUUGAUACUAUUUGUCUUGAAUGUCGUGGAGGUUAGCGGAAUAUGUCAUGUAGCGGUGAAAUGCUUAGAGAUGACAUAGAACACCUAUUGCGAAGGCAGCUAACUACGCGAAUAUUGACGCUGAGGCACGAAAGCGUGGGGAGCAAACAGG
rnacentral:rRNA from 1 species